AGAGAAAGAAUCAGACACGGCUGCUCUUUUAGAUUUGAUUAAAUCAAGACUGAUGGUGCAGAGAUAUCACUGCACAGCCUUACCCCGCUCCACGGCGCAGAUCGAAGGGAACACAAGAGACGAUAGCAUACUCGGUGACACUUUAUCUCUCAGGUUAUAUCCUCUCCUAUACACAAACUGCGGCCUCUCAAUGUUCAACCUUGACAACACCGGAUCUGACCUCAAGAUUCCCCAGUGUUUCGACACUAUUUGUUGUAUUUCCUUCGCUUCUGUACUAUAUUCUGUAAUAAAUCUUAUUUUUCCA